CCUUGUGGUUGCAAGGCAGGCGGCGGAACCACUGAGCUAAAUCCCUGGCCUCCAUGACUGUUUUAACAUGUGAACCAGACACUGACACUUUGGAUACUAAGAAACAGCCAGAAUCCUGCAAUUUCAGAAAAGUACAUAAACAGCAAGAGCAGAAGAAUGACAGCUGGAAAACAGCCACCCUCUGUGUUGCGUGAUGUGUUACCAGGAUGACUAUUGUUCUGGUGAAGAGGAUGGGGAGAACAAAAUGAACACACCCAGAC
rnacentral:lncRNA from 1 species